rnacentral:rRNA from 1 species
GGGGACGCGCGGCCGAUCGCGCGAGUCCAGGCAGCCCUGGUCACGUCGGGUCUGCUUCGGCGUAGCAUGAAGCUCCACGACGCGCUCAUCCGGGCGCUCGCGAGCUCCGGAUGGCCGCACGCCGCGCUCCCGCUCUAUGCGCACCUCCUCCGCGCGGGCCUCCUCACCACCCCGCACACCCUCCCCUCUCUCCUCAAGUCUCUCGGCCUCUCCCCCGCCGUCCCCGGCGCGCGUCGCCUCGCGCUCGCCGUUCAUGCCCACGCCGUCAAGCUCGGCCUCACGGGGUUCCUCCUCGUGAACAAGGCGCUCGUCCGCGUCCAUGCGGGUCUGCUUGGUCGUCUAUCUGACGUGCACCUUCCGCUGCGUACCUCGGCCACCGUGGACGUCUCUACGUUCAACACGCUCAUCACGGCGCACGCGAGGGUUGGGCGAGUCGCGGGCGCUCGCUCGCUGUUCGAUGAAAUGCUUGCCAGGAAUGCUGUGUCUUGGAGCGCCAUGGUGAAUGGCUACGUGCAGGCUGGAGACGGGAUGGAGGCGCUGGGGGUAUUCUCUCAGAUGCAGGCCAAAGGUGUCCUCCCAGACGACAUGGUCCUUGUCUGGAUGCUUGCUGCGUGUGCGCGGCUGGGGGCUCUGGAGCAGGGGAAUUGGUUACAUUACAUGGUUUCUGGGCACUGCAUUGGUUUAUAG